rnacentral:lncRNA from 1 species
CUCAUUGAGCUCUUGGCUUUGCUGAUUUUGAGAAGAAGCUGCAAAUCAGAGAGAAAAUAAAAAUGUUUACCAUUUUAACAAAUAAAAAAUACAGGCCGGUGAAUUAGGUGAACACGCAGUGGACAGGGACAUCCAUGCGCACAGAAAUCAACGGCUUGGCAUCAACCCGUCUGUAUUCUGCUUGUCCCCUGCUGCUUCGGAGGAGAUAAAGGAUUUAUUCACCGGAGAGGGACACAUGACUGCUGUAGUAAAGAAGGAACCAAUGUGAUGGAAGACAUAUGAAUUCCAUUUGGUUCGGUGUUUACCAUCACCACCCCCAUGGCCCCAUCUGCUGUACAUGCUUGCUAUGUUGCAACUGUCGAAACAAAUUUUGUCACUUAGAAAUUCCAUGUAAUGAUCCUAUUAAAUAAAUGAGAAUAAAUUAGGUGGAGAUCCGCACCAAGAUUUUGACUCACACAUCGGUGUAUAUAAGAUAGCCUGUGUGUUUAUUUACAGAUCAUAUUAUAUCACAACAUAAAAAAUCCACAAAAAAGCAGAUGAAGAAAUACACCUAUAACAAUGUGAAUAAUUCAAUGCUGAUCUAGAUAUUAGUACAUCCUGCAUGUUUAUUUACAAAGCAUCAUAUUAUAUCAGAGCAUCACACACAAAUCAGACACAUGCUUUUUUUCUUGGAUCGCAUAGUCAGCAACACAAUAGUUUGACCUCUCUUUACUGUUAAUCUUGCAAAGUUUCUGGAUAGCAUCAUCAGCAAAAUAUGGAAAGAAAUUCACGGAGGCAGAACAAUACACGGAUACUAACCUGUCGAUUAACCAUGGAGAUUGACAUAAUCUCGUACAAGUGAGAAGCCAACCUAGCAGAACCAACUUGAAUCUGUCUACGCUCGCAUUCAUUUAGGAAUUGGGAGUACAAAUAAAAUCAUGAAUAAGAAGAAUUAUAGAAGUUCAAAGGAGGGAAGACCGGCAAAAUGUAGAAGAUGAAGCACCAAAGCGCCAACCAUGGCUGCCGGAGAUUGUAUUUGCGAAAGUAUGGAGUGGGAUGGGAAGGAACAACGGG